ACACAACUUAAACCUAGAUAUUCAAUGUAAUCCACUUCUCCAAAACCCUAAAUCCCCUUUCAACUCUCCACUUGCCAAACCAAAACACUGAAACAAAGUGGCGUGGAUUCACUGCUUCUUUUCAAAUCGAAUACAUUUUUCGCUAAUUAUUCUUUCAAAUCAGAUCCGUACCCCGUGAAGUUAGGUAUAUCGGAGUUUAUGCACGGAAUCGGGAAUGGAGUAGAGACGUAAAGCUUGAAUCCAAAUUUGGAGUUUUAAAGAAUCUAUUGCUUUGCUCGAUCUAUGAAGCUGAAUAAGCUCAAUGUUGGAGCCGAACUGAAUGUUUGCGAACAUUGUCCAGCAGGCUGGUCUUCGGGUAUAACUGAUGGCUUUGGUGGUGAGUGAUCCAUGCUGUGAUUAUUUCAGACAAAAAAAUGAGUGAACGGUGAAGACUGCUUCUCAAGUUCUCAUUAUAUAGAAGAACACAACUGCAGCAGGUGCUGAACUGCCAAAAACUUGGACAGAAAAACUGCUCAAACGUGGGAUGGUGCUGUUCGGUUCAGUUAUGUAGGAACAUGGACAGAAAAACAUGCUUGCUGCAAGUAACCGCUCAGAACCGCCUUCAAUAGCGGUUAAAAUUAAGAGUUUAAACGGCCCAGAUUUAAUCUCAGCAUAAUCGAACGGAUGAUAUUGAUUUCAAAGUCCAAUUAAUUGACGCCGUUAGAACCUUCCGUUAAUGAAUGGGUAAAAUUGCUAAAUUCGUUCCUAAGGUUUGACACAAGUUGCUAGAUCAGUCCAAAAUCAAGUUUUGUUGCUAAAACAGUCCAGGUCACGGUGUAUAUCGGAUGUCAAACGACUGGAAAACGGACGUGGGUCUGAACAGUCUCAUUAGUUGCAAGGCCCUUCUCUGGCUCAACCUAGCGUGAAACGAAACUUUCAAAUUAGAAGAGGCUGUAAUUGGGAGUUUCAACGUACCCCACUUAUCGACUACAUGAUAGUUUCUUCGUCUAUCAAUUGAAAACCGGUGGGAAUUUAAAUCAGCAGUUGCAAACAUGGUACAAAAGUGGAGAUUCAGUUGUUAAUAUCUAAAUGCAAGUUAACCAAACAAAAUUAUAUAUCAUAGAUAAACUAUCUAAUUAUACGUUUAUAUUUUAUAAUGACUCUUUGCAGUUAAUUAAAUGAUGCACACUGUU